UAGAGUUUGAUCCUGGCUCAGGAUUAACGCUGGCGGUAUGCCUAAUACAUGCAAGUCGAGCGAGGUACUUCGGUACCUAGCGGCGAACGGGUGAGUAACGCGUACUCAACGUACCCCAUAGACAGGGAUAGCCUGGAGAAAUCCAGAUUAAUACCAGAUAAGAUAUUGGAAGGAAUCUUCUAAUAUUAAAAGAUGCGUUUGCAUCACUGUGGGAUCGGAGUGCGUUCUAUUAGCUAGUUGGUAGGGUAAUAGCCUACCAAGGCGACGAUAGAUAGCUGGAUCGAGAGGUUGAUCAGCCACACUGGGACUGAGAUACGGCCCAGACUCCUACGGGAGGCAGCAGUAGGGAAUCUUUCACAAUGGGCGAAAGCCUGAUGGAGCAAUACCGCGUGUCGGAUGAAGCACUUCGGUGUGUAAACGACUGUUGUAUGGGAAGAACAGCAUUGUCAGGAAAUGGGCAAUGUUUGACGGUACCAUGCCAGAAAGAGACGGCUAACUAUGUGCCAGCAGCCGCGGUAAUACAUAGGUCUCGAGCGUUAUCCGGAUUUACUGGGCGUAAAGAGUGCGUAGACGAUUUAAUAAGUUGGAAGUCAAAUACUAGGGCUCAACCCUAGCUCGCUUCCAAAACUAUUAAGAUAGACUGUAGGAGAGGUUAGCGGAAUUCCGAAUGUAGCGGUGGAAUGCGUAGAUAUUCGGAGGAACACCAAUAGCGAAGGCAGCUAACUGGCCUAUCAGUGACGUUCAUGCACGAAAGCGUGGGGAGCAAACAGGAUUAGAUACCCUGGUAGUCCACGCCGUAAACGAUCCUUACUAGACAUCGGAAUAUUCGGUGUCGCAGCUAACGCGUUAAGUAAGGCGCCUGAGGAGUACGCACGCAAGUGUGAAACUCAAAGGAAUUGACGGGGACCCGCACAAGUGGUGGAGCAUGUGGUUUAAUUCGAAGAUACGCGAAGAACCUUACCAACAUUUGAAAUCUUUGGCAAUACUAUAGAGAUAUAGUGGAGGCUAACCAAAUGACAGGUGGUGCAUGGUUGUCGUCAGCUCGUGUCGUGAGAUGUUAGGUUAAGUCCUGCAACGAGCGCAACCCCUAUCGUUAUUUGCCAGCAUUCAGUUGGGAACUAUAGCGAGACUGCCUAUGUAAGUAGGAGGAAGGUGGGGACGACGUCAAAUCAUCAUGCCCCUUAUAUGUUGGGCUACACACGUGCUACAAUGGCAAGGACAGAGAGUCGCAAUACCGUGAGGUGGAGCUAAUCUUCAAACCUUGUCCCAGUUCGGAUCGAAGUCUGCAAUUCGACUUCGUGAAGUUGGAAUCACUAGUAAUCGCAAGUCAGCAAUAUUGCGGUGAAUGCGUUCCCGGGUCUUGUACACACCGCCCGUCACAUCACGAAAGCCGGUAAUACCCAAAGUCGCUGCGCCAACCAUUUUUAUGGAGGCAGGUGCCUAAGGUAGGAUUGGUAAUUGGGAUGAAGUCGUAACAAGGUA
rnacentral:rRNA from 1 species